AACACUUUACAUUUGUAGGGCUAUUUCAAAGCCUGUCCUCAUUUUUAGAAGCACUGUGGUCCUCAAGGCAGGUUGCAUUUUCCUGAAUUUAUUAAUAAAGGUGCUAGGACCCGUAAAGGGGUCUGUUCAUGCAUUCUUUGGAAUACGUAUCUAUGAUGAACCCUUUUAUGUGGUCUGAGUAAAAGUUUUAUAGAGAAAAAUGUAAUUCAAGCUAUAGUUGUUUGUG
rnacentral:lncRNA from 1 species